rnacentral:lncRNA from 1 species
AUGAUUUUGCAAAAUAGCUGGCGUAUGAUGUAUUACUUUAUGCUUAUAGUUGUUCACGAGAACGAAGAAUGGAUGUUGUGGACUAUCAGGUCCAAAUACGGAACAACCAGGUGUGUUUGAUUAGGUGUUGAAGGAUGGUUAAAACCCUGUUUGAAGACAUAUUUAGGGUUGAGCAGAUUGAUCCAGAUGGCAAGAAAAUUCACUAAGGUUAUUUAUUUGUUUCCGCUUAGGCUGGAGGGUGUGGUUUAAAGCCCCUAGGGGCUUUAUCGC